rnacentral:rRNA from 1 species
UACAGAGGUCCCAAGCGUUGUUCGGAUUCAUUGGGCGUAAAGGGUGCGUAGGUGGCGCCGUAAGUCGGGUGUGAAAUUUCGGAGCUUAACUCCGAAACUGCAUUCGAUACUGCGGUGCUUGAGGACUGGAGAGGAGACUGGAAUUCAUGGUGUAGCAGUGAAAUGCGCAGAUAUCAGGAGGAACACCGGUGGCGAAGGCGGGUCUCUGGGCCGAUACUGACGCUGAGGAGCGAAAGCGUGGGGAGCGAACAGG